UGGGGAAUAUUGGACAAUGGGCGAAAGCCUGAUCCAGCCAUGCCGCGUGAGUGAUGAAGGCCCUAGGGUUGUAAAGCUCUUUUACCCGUGAAGAUAAUGACGGUAGCGGGAGAAUAAGCUCCGGCUAACUCCGUGCCAGCAGCCGCGGUAAUACGGAGGGAGCUAGCGUUGUUCGGAAUUACUGGGCGUAAAGCGCACGUAGGCGGCCAUUCAAGUCAGAGGUGAAAGCCCGGGGCUCAACCCCGGAACUGCCUUUGAAACUAAAUGGCUAGAAUGUUGGAGAGGCGAGUGGAAUUCCGAGUGUAGAGGUGAAAUUCGUAGAUAUUCGGAAGAACACCAGUGGCGAAGGCGACUCGCUGGACAAGUAUUGACGCUGAGGUGCGAAAGCGUGGGGAGCAAACAGGAUUAGAUACCCCCGUAGUCC
rnacentral:rRNA from 1 species